rnacentral:rRNA from 1 species
CAUAGCGACUAUCGUGGCAUAUCAAUAAGCGGAGGAAAAGAAACUAACAAGGAUUCCCCUAGUAACGGCGAGUGAAGCGGGAAGAGCUCAAAUUUGAAAUCUUCAAGGUUUGACCUUGACGAAUUGUAGUUUAAAGAAGUGUUUUCGGUUAGAGGAGUAGUAAAAGUUCUUUGGAAUAGGACAUCAUAGAGGGUGAGAAUCCCGUAUUUGACUAUUCUUUCUAGCUUUGUGAUACACUUUCAAAGAGUCGGAUUGUUUGGGAAUGCAGUCCAAAAUGGGUGGUAAAUUUCAUCUAAAGCUAAAUAUUGGCGAGAGACCGAUAGCGAACAAGUACCGUGAGGGAAAGAUGAAAAGAACUUUGAAAAGAGAGUUAAACAGUACGUGAGAUUGUCAAAAGGGAAGCGUUUGACACCAGUGUUGUUUUUCCGAAAAUCAAUUAAAAAUUGAUUCAUGCCAGGUUGUAUUGACCUUAUCAGCUUGCAAUUUAGUUUUGGGACUCUUUUUGAUGCACUUUUCGGUUAACAAGUCAACAUCAAUUUCCUUUGCUGUAAAAAGGUAAGAGGAAGGUGGCUUCAAUUUCGGUUGAAGUGUUUAUAGCCUUUUAUCUCUGCAGUCGGGGAGAUUGAGGUCUGCAGCGUAGAUCCUUCGGGGCUAGAUACAUUUAUGCUAAGUUAUAGCUUUUCAUAGACAACUUGUUGACUAUGUUUAGUCAUGUAGCUUACUCGUAAGUGCUAUUUUACCUACGCUUAGGAUGUUGAUAUGCAUGACUGAUAU